UUCGUUUUCAAUUGUUCGCCAUUCAAUGAGACUGAAAGUGAUAAUGGGCAGCCAACAAUAGCAACAACAGCAACAACGAGUCAACAGUCAACAUAAUAUAAUUAAAGCUGCAACAACAAUAGUAACAAGAAGAGUGCGCGACAUUACCAUUUAAUUGCAAGCAUUUAGUCAGCAUUUAACUUUGCAUAAAACUUACUCACACACACACACAUGCUCAUAGACAAAAGCUCUCUGCUCUUUCGAUCCCACGCUUAACAUUAACAUUGCCAUAACAGCAGCAUUAACAGCAAUCGCGGCUCAACAGCAGCUUCCAUUUUAGUCAGUGAUUUGCCCUUUUUGCAAUGCAAGCAAAAAGAAAGGAAAAGAAAAAGAAAAUCAAAGCGAAAGAAAUGCACUUUCGAUUUCCAGUUGUUAACAUUAUCGAGAUGUCUGCGGGAAUAAUAAAAUCCAACUAAUUGUGAUAAUUAAACGUGCGUUACAACUAUUAUGUGUUAUUGUUAAUGGAUUUAAUAAGCUUCGAAUUGCGGCGUCUGACAUGUCAAGGUCUCUGGAUCCUACAUCUAUAAUCUACUGUCGAGACGCAAACAAAGUUAAAUGAAACAUAGUAAAGAGUGAAAUGAUUAUAUGAAUGUGGAUUUCAACAAACAAAUUUAAUAAGGAUCAAGUGAGUUAAGGUGCAAGUGAAAUAUGGCAUCAUUAAUAAAUUGAAAAGGAAUUGAAGUGAGUGAAAGUGAAAUAUCAUAAGAAUAAAGUGAGUAAGAAGAAGGAUUAAGUUAGUAAAAAUAUAUGUGACAGUGCAGUGUAUAGAAAGAAGUGUUAUUAUUAUUGAAAAAUGUAAUAAAAAUAAAGUAAAUGUAUAAAAGUGGCAUUAUUAACAAAUUCAAUAAUAAAGUGAAAGAAAGUGCAAGUGAAAAGUGUUUAUAUAUAUAAGUGUUCUUAUUAUUAUUAAAUGUAAUAAGGAUAAAAGUGAGUGAAAGUGAAUUAGUGAUAAUUGUGGCUAAAAUAUAAAACAACGCAAUCAGAAGGCAGUUGGCAGUUGGCAGUUGGCUGUUUGAGUUGAGUUCGACAGUUACAUUUGUCAGUUUGGGCGAUCAAAGGAGCCGCGACUGAUAACGGAUGUUGUGGAUAUGCAUGGAUGUGGAUAUUGCUGCGCUGAUACGUUGUGAAUGUAUGUGGGAAUAUUUUAAACGUAUUCAAUACCAAAAUUAUUCAAUUGAGAAGUAUCUUUGAAGUCUUUGUUAUGCGGCUGUAAAGUGUCUACUAUGCAUCAUCGCUUUGGCUCACAUCAUGAAAAACUAAAGGCAGCUACUGUGUACCAUAUAUGUAAUGUUUGUUUUUAAUUUCCUAAAAUGUAUUAAGCUAAAAUUAUUAAAUUGUGAAAUAAUAAAAAUAAAUAAAAAAAGCAAAAA